rnacentral:rRNA from 1 species
CGGGUGAGUAAUAUAUAGUUAAUGUGCCUCGAAGACUGGGAUAGCCACUGGAAACGGUGAUUAAUACUAGAUAGUCCUGCUAAACAUAAGUUUAGUUGGUAAACGUUUUUUCGCUUCGAGAUCAGACUAUAUCCCAUCAGCUUGUUGGUAGUGUAAGAGACUACCAAGGCAAUGACGGGUAGCGGGUUUGAGAGGAUGAUCCGCCACACUGGUACUGAGACACGGACCAG